UACGGUAGGGAGCAAGCGUUGUCCGGAAUCAUUGGGCGUAAAGGGCGCGUAGGCGGUCAGCACAAGUCAGUUGUGAAAUCUCCGGGCUUAACUCGGAAAGGUCAACUGAUACUGUGCGACUAGAGUGCGGAAGGGGCAACUGGAAUUCUCGGUGUAGCGGUGAAAUGCGUAGAUAUCGAGAGGAACACCUGCGGCGAAGGCGGGUUGCUGGGCCGACACUGACGCUGAGGCGCGAAAGCCAGGGGAGCGAACGGG
rnacentral:rRNA from 1 species